rnacentral:rRNA from 1 species
AAUCUCAGUUCGGAUUGAAGUCUGAAAUUCGACUUCAUGAAGCUGGAAUUGCUAGUAAUGGCAGGUCAGCAUACUGCCGUGAAUACGUUCCCGGGCCUUGUACACACCGCCCGUCACACCAUGAGAGUCGGGAACACCCGAAGUCCGUAGUCUAACCGCAAGGGGGGCGCGGCCGAAGGUGGGUCCGGUAAUUGGGGUGAAGUCGUAACAAGGUAUC